rnacentral:rRNA from 1 species
GAUGAACGCUGACAGAAUGCUUUACACAUGCAAGUCAACUUGUGGCGAAUGGGUGAGUAACACGUCCAGAACUUGCCUCUCAGGUAGGGACAACAUUUGGAAACGACUGCUAAUACCUCAUCCUGUGAGAGAGCUUUGCGUCUCAUUAGCUAGUUGGAGAGGUAACGGCUCACCAAGGCGAGGAUGGGUAGCCGGCCUGGGAGGGUGAUCGGACACAAGUGGACUGAGACACGGCCCGUACUCCGACGGGAGGCAGCAGGGGGGAAUAUUGGACAAUGGACCAAAGUAUGAUCCAGCAAUUCGGUGUGCACGGUGAAGUUUUCUGAAUGUAAAGUGCUUUCAGUUGGGAGGCGGUACCAACAGAAGAAGUGACGGCUAAAUACGUGCCAGCCGCCGCGGUAAUAC